GUUGAUGCUCUGACCCAAGAGUAAUGAGAGGUGGUGGAGUCCUGGAACCCUUUGAGCAGGUCACUAUGGAGAUCAGUGGAGAGAGAUACAAUAUGUGACAGCCUAAAAAAUUAUACUCCUGUGUAAAGGUCUGCAGCGAAUCACAGCCAGCCGCCAGAGAGAAGCAAAUGUAACCACAGGACAUGUGACAGAGUUGAUGGACACCCUAUGUUCAUCAAUGGACAGAAAGUUCCACAGAAUGGAAUAUAAUCACGUGCUAUCAGAAACCGCUGCACUUGACCCCAGGUUUAAGAAGUUAGCCUUCAGUGAUGCCAGAGCGAUUGAUGAGGCUCUUCAAAGAAUAACCUCAGCAGCAGGGAGGGACAUCCCCAGCAGUCAGCUGGCUCAGGCACCAGGGCAACAGGAAGAAGAGGGAUCAGAUGGAGCAGAAGAACCAGCAGUAGUGCCACAAACGUCUGCUGUUUGGA